GACGAAGGGGGCUAGCGUUGUUCGGAAUUACUGGGCGUAAAGCGUGUGUAGGUGGUUGCCAUAGUCAGGGGUGAAAUCCUGGAGCUCAACUCCAGAACUGCCUUUGAUACUGGGAAUCUCGAGUCCGGGAGAGGUGAGUGGAACUGCGAGUGUAGAGGUGAAAUUCGUAGAUAUUCGCAAGAACACCAGUGGCGAAGGCGGCUCACUGGCCCGGUACUGACGCUGAGGUGCGAAAGCGUGGGGAGCAAACAGGGAUAGAAA
rnacentral:rRNA from 1 species